rnacentral:lncRNA from 1 species
UUAUUUUGUGCUUUUUAUUCACAGAUUCUUUUUUAUAUGAAGAAAAUAUAAUACCAUUUUUAAAUGAAUAGUCAGGAAUUCUAGAAAUCACAUUUAUUGAGAUGAAGCACUUAAUAUUAUUAAGAAAAAACAGGUUUUCUAAAUAAUUUUGAAUCCAGUAUUUGUUAUUUAUGAUAUGCGUGCUUUAUAUAUGAAAUCAAACCAUGUUCCCUCGCACUCGGAAUGUUCACGCCUGUUGCAUGGUGGCGGUGCAUUCUGUUCUUGUCAGAACGGAAGCCUGUCACAACAGCAUCUUAAGUUAAUUUUAGCUAAUCAAAAUACUACUAAAUAAGCUGUAUUCCUGAUCUGAUCAUGCAAACCAAAAGUCGGUCGAUUACAUCACGUCAAAAGCAUAUGCAUUCGGGGAUUUUUGGCCACUUGUUGUAGAAGUAUGGAGGAGUCAAUAUUAAAUAAGUAUAAAAAUAAUUAAUUAAUUAAAUAAAUACAUUCUUUUAAGUGGCACAAUAAUAUGAAAUAUUUUUUAUAGUGCAACUUUUAAAAUAUGUAUGCUAUUUAAUAAUAAUAUAUUGUAUUUCCAAAAGGCUUUUUGAAUAAAAGGAUCCAUUUUGUAAUAUCAUGGCCUAAUUCAUAAUUUCAAGUUCAAGACAUUUCAUUAUUUCAUGGCGUAUUUGAUCACGUAAUGUUUAGCCACUGAUUGGUCAAACUUUUUGCGUUGGCCGUCUGCAAAAGAUAAAGCUCAUUUCAGCCACAGAUUUCGCUGCAGGUCUUCUAUUUCGAAAGUGUUUUAAAAAAUGAAAGGAGUGCCUCCGCCACCUCUGACCAACUCUCCUCCCUCCAUCCCCUUCCCUCCCCUGUUAAAGGUUCGACUCAACCUCCUGUUGAACACAUCUCUCUCCCUGGGUCAUCUCUCGAGCACACCUACCCAGCGAAUACCUCAACAGGGGUGUUCCAUCCUGCUUGUCUGGUCAUGGAGACACCAGCCCAGAGGACAUAACAGUCAUUCAACAGCCUUUUCAGGACCACUCUUACCCAAGGCCCCAGAUCGCAGCAGCCCGUGGCCAGGUUCUUCGCAGGACCCACUCAGACACCCCACUGUUUCUGAAAAAAAAGACCCAGAGGGACAGAGGAGAAUGCAGGGACCUUGUCGACUUGGAACUGCUUGGGUAAACCACAUCAUCUGGCAAAAUAAUGUUCAACUGCUAAAUUGUUUAGAUAAAUGUCAGGUAUAU